rnacentral:rRNA from 1 species
GUAGGCGGCAAGCGUUGUCCGGGAAUUAUUGGGGCGUAAAGCGCGCGCAGGCGGUUCUUUAAGUCUGAUGUGAAAGCCCACGGGCUCAACCGUGGAGGGUCAUUGGAAACUGGAGAACUUGAGUACAGAAGAGGAAAGCGGAAUUCCACGUGUAGCGGUGAAAUGCGUAGAGAUGUGGAGGAACACCAGUGGCGAAGGCGGCUUUCUGGUCUGUAACUGACGCUGAGGCGCGAAAGCGUGGGGAGCAAACAGGACUAGAUACCCUGGUAGUCCACGCCGUAAACGAUGAGUGCUAAGUGUUAGGGGGUUUCCGCCCCCUAGUGCUGCAGCUAACGCAUUAAGCACUCCGCCUGGGGAGUACGGCCGCAAAGGCUGA